rnacentral:rRNA from 1 species
UACGUAGGGUGCAAGCGUUGUCCGGAAUUAUUGGGCGUAAAGAGCUCGUAGGUGGCCUGUCGCGUCGGCUGUGAAAACUCGGGGCUCAACUCCGAGCUUGCAGUCGAUACGGGCAGGCUAGAGUUCGGCAGGGGAGACUGGAAUUCCUGGUGUAGCGGUGAAAUGCGCAGAUAUCAGGAGGAACACCGAUGGCGAAGGCAGGUCUCUGGGCCAUUACUGACACUGAGAAGCGAAAGCAUGGGGAGCGAACAGG